GAGCGAGUUGGAAACCCGCGUUCCCCUCUCCACUUCGCCUGACAUGGAGAGUCGAAAGCAGCUAGCGAUGGAUGUUGUCACUUUAUCUUCCUUCUAUCUUUACAAUCCAUCAAUGAGGAUAUCCGCGAGUGCAGUUGUCGACGCUGCUCUUCCUAGGGUGCAGGAACCGAAAUCAAAGGAAGUCUUGGUUCUUGUUAUGUCAUUGUAUUAGUAUUCAUGGUGACAGGAGAUUAAUGCUUGCUUGUUGUGACUGCAUUUAGGUUUUGGAAAUGCGGAGUAUGAGGUGCAUUAACCCUAAAUUUCAUGAGUUUGGACUUCAUUUUUUAUAUUCUGUGGAAACUAGAAUCUAUUUUUUGAAUGAGUUUCUGAGGAAUCGAACGAACCCUUCUUUGGUGGAGGUAAGGGAUUUACCAAUGGGUUAUGUGCACAGGCGUAGGGUUCCCAAGCUGAUUGAUUGACGCCGUUGUUGAUGACAUAUGGUAGAAUUGGAGUGGAGAUUGGUUGAAAGUAUUACAGCUUGGAGAUUUUGAUCUAUCAGGUUCCAGAGAUGGAAAUAUGAGUUUUAUGAAUGACUUUGGAAGGAAUCGUGGUGUGCUCAAAUAGGAAUUCUUUGAAUCCAUUAGCUGUAAACAGUUCCUCGGGUACAACACCUGCAUUUUUCAUCCCUGAUAAUUGUUGUAUUGCGGUGGGGAGUUGGAUAUGGUCUUGAUAUUGGAUGUAUGCUCAUGUCCUUCAUCCUUUUUAGUGACAUCGUUGGAUGCAGGGUGGAUCCGAUCAGAGGUGAGGAUGCUAAGGAAAGUGCGUUGAAACUGGCGCUCUGAUAUCAUGUAGAAAAAGGGUAUGGCAGAUAUCCCCUCAGUUCCUCGGGUACAACACUCUACUCUUUUCUCUCCUCUCCAGAUUCUCUCUGUCAUGCCUUCUUCUUCUCUCCCUCUUUGCUGCUGUGUUAAUAGCGGGAGAUUGCCCUGCCUUCGCAUGUGCGGGGGAUGCCUGAGCUGUUGUGGUGAGCUCUACUCCUUUGGUUGUUGGUUGAGCCAUGCAUGUGUGGACCGUCUUCGGUAACCUUUGUGUACCCUUGAAUACUGUCAGCACGGAUGACUUUUUGAAGACUUGAUGUGAGAUGAUGUUUGGGAGUUAACUGGAUGGUAAUGGCAUUUUUUAUGGUUGAAAUAAAAAAAUUCAACUGACGUGGAUUAGGAGUAUUUAUCCAUUAGCAAAAAAGAAUCACCUUCAUGGGUUCUUGAAGUAGCAGAAUCGUACAUGGAGUGACGCUGACGCACAGGAUCAAAUAGAAGAAGAUGGAUACAGCCAUUUGGCGAGAAUCUCUGAUACCAAGUUAACUAAUUCCGCACUAGCAAUAGAAGAAGGAAG